GCGGACGGCUCAGUAACACGUAGUCAACCUAACUCGUGGACGUGGAUAACCUCGGGAAACUGAGAAUAAACCACGAUAGAUCAUAGUGCCUGGAAUGGCUUAUGGUCCAAACAGUUUACUGCCAUGGGAUGGGACUGCGGCCUAUCAGCUUGUUGGUGAGGUAAUGGCCCACCAAGGCUAUUACAGGUACGGGCUCUGAGAGGAGAAGCCCGGAGAUGGGUACUGAGACACGGACCCAGGCCCUAUGGGGCGCAGCAGGCGAGAAACCUUUGCAAUGUGCGCAAGCACGACAAGGUUAAUCCGAGUGUUUCCUGCUAAAGGAGUCUUUUGCUUGUCCUAAAAGCACAGGUGAAUAAGGGGUGGGCAAGUCUGGUGUCAGCCGCCGCGGUAAUACCAGCACCUCGAGUGGUCAGGACGUUUAUUGGGCCUAAAGCAUCCGUAGCCGGCUUUGCAAGUCUUCGGUUAAAUCCACCUGCUCAACAGAUGGGCCGCUGGAGAUACUACAGAGCUAGGGAGUGGGAGAGGCAGACGGUAUUCAGUGGGUAGGGGUAAAAUCCUCUGAUCCAUUGAGGACCACCAGUGGCGAAGGCGGUCUGCCAGAACACGUUCGACGGUGAGGGAUGAAAGCUGGGGGAGCAAACCGGAUUAGAUACCCGGGUAGUCCCAGCUGUAAACGAUGCAAACUCGGUGAUGCAUUGGCUUAUGGCCA
rnacentral:rRNA from 1 species